rnacentral:rRNA from 1 species
AGAAUCAACGCUGGCGGCGUGCCUAACACAUGCAAGUCGAACGAGAAAGGGGAGCAAUCCCUGAGUAAAGUGGCGACCGGGUGAGUAACACGUGACUAACCUACCCUCGAGUGUGGAAUAACAUCGGGAAACCGAUGCUAAUACCGCAUAACAUCGGCGCUUUUAAGAGAUGCCGAUCAAAGGAGCAAUCCGCUUGAGGAGGGGGUCGCGGCUGAUUAGCUAGUUGGCGGGGUAACGCCCACCAAGGCGAAGAUCGGUA